GGGAGAGAGAGGGAGAAAGAAGGAGAGAGAGGGAGAAAGAAGGAGAGAGAGGGAGAAAGAAGGAAGGAGAGAGGGAGAAAGAAGGAAGGAGAGAGGGAGAAAGAAGGAAGGAGAGAGGGAGAAAGAAGGAAGGAGAGAGGGAGAAAGAAGGAAGGAGAGAGGGAGAAAGAAGGAAGGAGAGAGGGAGAAAGAAGGUAGGAGAGAGGAAGAAAGAAGGUAGGAGAGAGGGAGAAAGAAGGAAGGAGAGAGGGAGAAAGAAGGUAGGAGAGAGGGGGAAAGAAGGUAGGAGAGAGGAAGAAAGAAGGUAGGAGAGAGGAAGAAAGAAGGUAGGAGAGAGGGAGAAAGAAGGUAGGAGAGAGGGAGAAAGAAGGAAGGAGAGAGGGAGAAAGAAGGAAGGAGAGAGGGAGAAAGAAGGAAGGAGAGAGGGAGAAAGAAGGAGAGAGAGGGAGAAAGAAGGAAGGAGAGAGGGAGAAAGAAGGAAGGAGAGAGGGAGAAAGAAGGUAGGAGAGAGGGAGAAAGAAGGUAGGAGAGAGGGAGAAAGAAGGUAGGAGAGAGGGAGAAAGAAGGUAGGAGAGAGGGAGAAAGAAGGUAGGAGAGAGGGAGAAAGAAGGUAGGAGAGAGGGAGAAAGAAGGUAGGAGAGAGGGAGAAAGAAGGUAGGAGAGAGGGAGAAAGAAGGUAGGAGAGAGGGAGAAAGAAGGAAGGAGAGAGGGAGAAAGAAGGAAGAAAGAAGGAAGGAGAAAGAAGGAAGGAGAGAGGGAGAAAGAAGGAAGGAGAGGGAGAAAGAAGGAAGGAGAGGGAGAAAGAAGGAAGGAGUGGGAGAAAGAAGGAAGGAGAGAGGGAGAAAGAAGGUAGGAGAGAGGGAGAAAGAAGGUAGGAGAGAGGGAGAAAGAAGGAGAGAGAGGGAGAAAGAAGGUAGGAGAGAGGGAGAAAGAAGG